GAGUUUGAUCGUGGCUCAGGAUGAACGCUAGCGGCAGGCUUAACACAUGCAAGUCGAGGGGUAGAGUUAGCUUGCUAACUUGAGACCGGCGCACGGGUGCGUAACGCGUAUGCAAUCUACCUUGUACAGGGGGAUAGCCCAGAGAAAUUUGGAUUAAUACCCCAUAGUGUUAUGAUGUGGCAUCACAUUAUAACUAAAGUUCCAACGGUACAAGAUGAGCAUGCGUCCCAUUAGCUAGUUGGUGUGGUAACGGCAUACCAAGGCAACGAUGGGUACGGGGUCCUGAGAGGGAGAUCCCCCACACUGGUACUGAGACACGGACCAGACUCCUACGGGAGGCAGCAGUGAGGAAUAUUGGUCAAUGGGCGCAAGCCUGAACCAGCCAUCGCCGCGUGCAGGAUUGACGGUCCUAUGGAUUGUAAACUGCUUUUGUACA
rnacentral:rRNA from 1 species